AACGGGUGGAGCUUGCGGUUUAAUUGGACUCAACGCCGGAAAACUCACCGGGGGCGACAGCAAUAUGUAGGUCAAGCUAAAGACUUUACCAGAAUCGCUGAGAGGAGGUGCAUGGCCGUCGUCAGUUCGUACUGUGAAGCAUCCUGUUAAGUCAGGCAACGAGCGAGACCCGUGCCCACUGUUGCCAGCAUGUCCUUCGGGAUGAUGGGUACUCUGUGGGACCGCCGAUGCUAAAUCGGAGGAAGGUGCGGGCUACGGUAGGUCAGUAUGCCCCGAAUCUCCCGGGCUACACGCGGGCUACAAUGACUGGGACAAUGGGCUCCUACCCCGAAAGGGGAUGGUAAUCUCAUAAACCCAGCCUUAGUUCGGAUCGAGGGCUGUAACCCGCCCUCGUGAAGCUGGAAUCCGUAGUAAUCGCGUUUCAACAUAGCGCGGUGAAUACGUCCCUGCUCCUU
rnacentral:rRNA from 1 species